AUUGAACGCUGGCGGCGUGCUUAACACAUGCAAGUCGAUCGGUAACAGGUGUAGCAAUACAUGCUGACGAGAGGCGGACGGGUGAGUAAUGCUUGGGAAUCUGCCUAUUAGUGGGGGACAACCCGGGGAAACUCGGGCUAAUACCGCAUACGCUCUACGGAGGAAAGCCGGGGACCGCAAGGCCUGGCGCUAAUAGAUGAGCCCAAGUCGGAUUAGCUAGUUGGUAGGGUAACGGCCUACCAAGGCGACAAUCCGUAGCUGGUCUGAGAGGACGACCAGCCACACCGGAACUGAGACACGGUCCGGACUCCUACGGGAGGCAGCAGUGGGGAAUAUUGGACAAUGGGGGCAACCCUGAUCCAGCGACGCCGCGUGGGUGAAGAAGGCCUGCGGGUUGUAAAGCCCUUUCGGUGGGAAGAAAAGUCUCGACCUAAUACGUCGGGACCUUGACGUAACCCACUAAAGAAGCACCGGCUAACUCUGUGCCAGCAGCCGCCGCGGUAAC
rnacentral:rRNA from 1 species